rnacentral:rRNA from 1 species
UUCGAUUCUGGCUCAGGAUUAACGCUGGCGGCGUGCCUAAUACAUGCAAGUCGAAUGGUUAGCUUGCUAACCAUGGCGAACGGGUGAGUAACACGUAGGCAACCUGUCUAAGAGACGAGGAUAACCAUUGGAAACGAUGGAUAAUACUGGAUAGGAUAUGAUAAGGCAUCUUAUUAUAUUUAAAGAUUUAUCACUGUUAGAGGGGCCUGCGGCGCAUUAGCUAGUUGGUGAGGUAGGGGCCCACCAAGGCGAUGAUGCGUAGCCGGACUGAGAGGUUGAACGGCCACAAUGGGACUGAGAACGGCCCAUACUCCUACGGGAGGCAGCAGUAGGGAAUUUUCGGCAAUGGACGAAAGUCUGACCGAGCAACGCCGCGUGAACGAAGAAGUAUUUCGGUAUGUAAAGUUCUUUUGUUUGGGAAGAAAAUAAAUUGACGGUACCAAACGAAUAAGCUCCGGCUAACUACGUGCCAGCAGCUGC